GAUGAACGCUAGCGGCAGGCUUAAUACAUGCAAGUCGAGGGGCAGCAUGAUUGUAGCAAUACAAUUGAUGGCGACCGGCAAACGGGUGCGGAACACGUACACAACCUCCCAAUAAGUGGGGAAUAGCCCAGAGAAGUUUGGAUUAAUACCCCGUAACAUAACGAUGUGGCAUCACAUUGUUAUUAUAGAUUUUUCGCUUAUUGAUGGGUGUGCGGCUGAUUAGAUAGUUGGCGGGGUAACGGCCCACCAAGUCUACGAUCAGUAGCUGAUGUGAUAGCAUGAUCAGACACGCGGGCACUGAGACACGGGCCCGACUCCUCCGGGAGGCAGCAGUAAGGAAUAUUGGACAAUGGACGCAAGUCUGAUCCAGCCAUGCCGCGUGAAGGAUUAAGGUCCUCUGGAUUGUAAACUUCUUUUAUAAGGGACGAAAAAAGGCUUUUCUAAGUCGUCUGACGGUACCUUAUGAAUAAGCACCGGCUAACUCCGUGCCAGCCGCCGCCGUAACAC
rnacentral:rRNA from 1 species